rnacentral:lncRNA from 1 species
GCGGUUCCGAGGGGGGUCCUAUUCCUAUGCCUCUGAGAUGGAGACCUAGAGCGCUGUCGAGUUCUCUCCUCUCACCUCGACGAACGCUCUUUAUUCUACUUUUCUCUCAUGAUGGAACUAAUGGGGACUUUGUCUUCCGCAAAGACCUCCUCCAUACAGGCGUAUUUCUCCGUCAGGACCAGCAUGUCGGGGAAGUCCCGAGGAU